rnacentral:lncRNA from 1 species
GUGCUGAUACAGCAUGAUCAGGCCCUGGCAGGCAAGGGAGCCCUUAGAGGAAGCAGCCAAUGAGCAAGCUGAAGACAUGACCUCCAAACCCAGAAGAGAAUUCUGAGUGAGUAGCAGGGCCAGAGCUAAGCCCCAGGCCACGUGCACAUGACUCCCACCUCCAGCCAAAAGUCAUGGUCACAUGUCACGCCUCCAUGCUGCUGCAGGGCCAGGCACGUACUCAGAGCCCUGCCAUGGGCAGUGAGUGCCAGGAUGGGAGGAGACACACGCUGAGGCCAACUGCUCUGGACGCAGGCCCGGAGGGGCGCAUCCGACCUGAGCCACCUUCCUCCUUGGAGCCGUCUGCCUCUGCCUAAUUCCAGCUGGCUUCUCUGAAGUCAAUCUGGUCAAGGUCAACUGGCCAUCAUGGGAAGCCAAACUCAGGGAGGUAAAUUUAGAGAGCUGAAGGGACACCCUCCCUGCCUGCUCCAGCUAUGACUCAGCGGAAAUUCUGAAAUGAAGAGCCAAAUGCUUAUGGAAGAGAGCAGCACACAGGCGUGUGGGAUUGGCAGUGAACGAGUAAACAUCAGGACUGGCUGAAUGAAUGAAUGAAUGAAUGAACGAACAAAUAAGAGCACAAGCCCUUCACAUCUUCUGAGCAGCUCUGGGGAAAGUAACUGGAGUGAUGACGGCUGCAGGUGGCGUAGAGCAUCCAGUGAAACAAUGGAACCUAGGAUUGCAGGGAGUGCUAUCUCGGCUGCACGUCCCCUCAAAGCAAGUGCAAGAAGCUUGGACGGCUCCUCAGAAGACAGCCUGGCCUGCAGGUGCAGAUGUGCGGCCAGGAAUCUUAGAAGACAGUUUAAAUACGAUGCUCUCCAUAAACUUGACAAAAGAAAAAUGACCACUUUCAUCCUGGGGAAAAAAAAUAUCCUGUUUCAUUUAGUAUGUUUUUAAGAGGAACAAACCAAUGACCUCAUCUCUAAGUUGAAAGUCAGAGGGUGAUUGGCCAACUCUAUAAACAAUGUCUUUAAUGGGACAAGAUGUUUGCAAACUUGCAUCUGACAAAGGUCUAAUAUCCAGAAUCUAUCAGGAACUUAAACAAAUUUAUAAGCAGAAAAAAACCCCAUUAAAAAGUGGGCAAAGGACAUGAACAGACACGUUCCAAAGGAAGACAUAAAUGCAGCCAACAAACAUAUGAAAAGUGCUCAACAUCGCUAGGCAUUAGGGAAAUGCAAACUGAAACCACAAUGAGAUACCAUCUCACACCAGUCAGAAAUGCUAUUAUUAAAAAGUCAAAAAAGAAUAGAUAGUGGCAAGGUUGUGGAGAAAAGAGAACACUUAUACACUGCUGGUGAGAGUGUAAAUUACUUCAACCAUUGUGAAAACAGUGUGGCAAGUCCUCAAAUAACUUAAAAUAGAAUUCACCAUUCAACCUAGUAAUCCCAUUGCUGGAUAUGUGCCCAAAGGAAUAUAAAUCUUUCUACCAUAAAGACACAUGCACAGGUAUGUUCAUCAAAGCACUGUUCACAAGAGCAAAGAUGUGGAAUCAACCUAAAUGCCCAUCGAUGGUAGACUGGCUUAAAAAAAUGUGAUACAUAUCCACGAUGGAAUACUAUGCAGCCAUAAAAAAGAAUGAUGUCAUGUCCUUUGCAGCAACGUGAAUGGAGCUGGAGGCCGUUAUCCUAAGCAAACUAAUGCAAGAACAGAAAGCCAAAUAGCACAUGUUCUCACUUAUAAAUGGGAGCUAAACGUUGAGUGCACGUGGACACAAAGAAGAAAACAAUAGCCAUGCGGCCGGUAUCUGUUGUUGGAGGAGAGAGAGGAUUGAAAAACUACCCGUCGGGUACCAUGCUUAUUACUAGAUGACAAAAGAAACUGUACACCAAGCCCCUUUGGCACACAGUUUACCUAUAUAACAAACCUGCACGUGUACCCUUGAGUCUAAAAUAAAAGCUAAAAAAAUUACAACAGCGAUGAAUAAAUAAAUAAAUAAUGCCUUUGAGUGAAUACCGGUGAGGUAUGCAAAAAACCCGCAAUUGAUGUUUUUCUAUCUAAUAAAGCAGUAAUGUUUCCAUAACUGAAAUACAAAAUACAACCACCCUCCAGAACUUCAGAGGGCUCCCCAGGAACAAACUCCAGGACAAAGCUUGGGGUCCCAAGGGUGGUGUUGAAGGGCCUUGAAGACCUAGGGCUACGCUGCUUCGCUGGCCAUGGCUGGCCAUGCCCCUAAGCGUCUCACCUUCCAGCAUAUUUGGGGAAGGUUGUGACUUCCUUGCCUCUCUGCACUUGUAAAGACCUCCUUUCCUCUUUUUGGACAUCCUCCCCUACAUCCUGUUGUCAACUGGCAAACACCUACUCAGCCUGCAAGAGCCAGUUCAAUUACUAAUCCUAUCCAGAGUUUUCCUGAGCAUUUCAAGAUAAAGUUAGCCACCCUCGUUCCUGUGCCGUCAGCACUCCCUAGACCCCAGACUCCUUAGCUCUUAUCCUGUUGUAUCAGGCGUAUUGAUUUAUGCCUGUCCCUCCCAUAAGGCCAUAUGAGUGCAUGACAGGAGUUGUGUCUUACUCAUCUUUGUGUCAUCAUUCCCCCUGCAAAGCCGAUUACUAUGCCUGGUAUGUCAUUGUGACUUGAUAAAUUCAUCUUUUGAAAAAACAAUUUCUUUUUAUAUCUCUGAAUUUCUUGCACAUCAUAGCUUUCAUAUCAAGAGGAAUAGCAAUUGGAAAAUAAUCAUCCUCAAAUAGUAUUGAUAGAGUGGCCUUGCACAUGAAACUAUAAAGAGUUGAAGGUCUAAAAUAAAAUUUGAGGCUGGGCACAGUAGCUCACACCUGUAAUCCCAGCACUCUACGAGGCCAAAGUGGGCAAAUCAGCUAAGGUCAGGAGUUCAAGACCAGCCUGGCCAACAUGGUGAAACCCGUCUCUACUAAAAAAACGAAAAUUGGUGGUGCUUGGUGACACAUGCCUGUAAUCCCAGCUGUCACCUGUAGUCCCAGCUACUCGGGAGGCUGAGGCAGGAGAAUCACUUGAACCCAGUGGAGGUUGCAGUGAGCCAAGAUCACUCCACUGCACUGUAGCCUGGGUGACAAAGUGAGACUCCGUCUCAAAAAAAUAAAGAAAUAAAAAUAAAAAAUAAAAUUUGAACAAUUAUAUAAAUACCAAUGACCAACCAGGAUACCUGAAUCUCUACUAUGUCCCUAGAAAUGGAUGAAGACACAGGAAAUAUAAUCCCUGACAUAAGGAGCUUACCGUCGGGUCAGGGUGGCAAGACCUACGUGGAAUAUAACCAUGGUAUUUUGAAGUUGGAGGGGUGUCAUUAGAGAAAAUAAAACAGCAACCACCAAAUGAGCAAGCGUUCAGUUGGCUCUGAUGUUACAGGUGACGCUCCAAUGCUGUUCCACACACGUCCCUCCUGCAGGCAGCUGCUCUGCCUCUCAAGGCCGCUGCAGGCCUGGGAGGGAGCCCCCACCAGGAACACCUAGAGAUCUUAGGGAUUCCAAGCUGGUCUCUUGUUCAAAUUGGAGAAAAGCCCCCUGCUUUGGAUUACACUCUGGUGGAGGGGCACCCCCUAGGGUGUCACAAAGUUUGACGAAAGUUUUUGUCACAUCCUCUGGCUUCAGAAUCCAAGCAGGAGUCCAGGGAGCUGGGCCAAGGCUGGCUUCAAACACGAGAUGGUAUGUUAUAUUCUGAUCCCUGCCUCUCUCUAGCAAAUCCUGUUUCUGAGGCAAGAUCCUCAGGCCAUCUCUCGUUUUCUUUUUCUUCUUUUUUUUUUUUUUUUUUUGAGACAGAGUCUCACUCUGUCACCAGGCGGCAGGCUGGAGUGCAGAGGCGCGACCUCGGCUCACUGCAACCUCCGCCUCCCAGAUUCAAG